rnacentral:rRNA from 1 species
AGAAAGUCACGGCUAACUACGUGCCAGCAGCCGCGGUAAUACGUAGGUGGCAAGCGUUAUCCGGUAUUUAGUUGGGACGUAAAGAGAGUGCAGGUCGGUUUUCUAAGUCUGAUGUAGAAAGCCUUCGGCUUAACCGGAGAAGUGCAUACGGAAACUGGAUAACUUGAGUGCAGAAGAGGGUAGUGGAACUCCAUGUGUAGCGGUGGAAUGCGUAGAUAUAUGGAAGAACACCAGGUGGCGAAGGCGGCUACCUGGUCUGCAACUGACGCUGAGACUACGAAAGCAUGGGUAGCGAACAGGAUUAGAUACCCUGGUAG